rnacentral:tRNA from 1 species
GGGUUGGUCGGCUAAAGGUAAGCCAUCAGGAAUUGUUGUUCUAUGUGUAUGUGGGUUCGACCCCCACUCAACCUU